rnacentral:rRNA from 1 species
AGUGAACGCUGGCGGCGUGCUUAACACAUGCAAGUCGAACGAGAACGGGUUAUAGCUUGCUAUAAUUGUCAGCUAAGUGGCGCACGGGUGAGUAAUGUAUAGGUAAUAUGCCUCUUACUAAGGGAUAACAAAUGGAAACGUUUGCUAAUACCUUAUACUCCUUAUUAACAUAAGUUAAUAAGGGAAAGAUUUAUUGGUAAGAGAUUAGCCUGUAUUGUAUCAGUUAGUUGGUGGGGUAAUGGCUUACCAAGACUAUGACACAUAACUGGUUUGAGAGGAUGAUCAGUCACACUGGAACUGAGACACGGUCCAGACUCCUACGGGAGGCAGCAGUGGGGAAUAUUGCAAAAUGGACGAAAGUCUGAUGCAGCAACGCCGCGUGGAGGAUGACACAUUUCGGUGCGUAAACUCCUUUUAUAUGAGAAGAUAAUGACGGUAUUAUAUGAAUAAGCACCGGCUAACUCCGUGCCAGCAGCCGCCGCAG